UACGUAGGGUGCGAGCGUUAAUCGGAAUUACUGGGCGUAAAGCGUGCGCAGGCGGCGCGUUAAGACAGGUGUGAAAGCCCCGAGCUUAACUUGGGAAUUGCGCUUGUGACUGGCGUGCUGGAGUGUGGCAGAGGGAGGUGGAAUUCCACGUGUAGCAGUGAAAUGCGUAGAGAUGUGGAGGAACACCGAUGGCGAAGGCAGCCUCCUGGGCCAGCAAUGACGCUCAUGCACGAAAGCGUGGGGAGCAAACAGG
rnacentral:rRNA from 1 species